UAUUGGAAGUUUGAUCCUGGCUCAGAUCGAACGCUGGCGGCGUGCUUAACACAUGCAAGUCCAGCGGCACCGCCCGGCUCCCUGGCGGACAGCGGAGGACGGGUGAGUAACGUGUGGUAUUCUGCCUGUUAGCCGCGGAAAACUCGGGGAAACUCCGGAUAUUCCCUCAGACGCACUAAUUUGGAGCCCCGGGGUACCGAACGGGCUGGCGCUAAUAGAUGAUGCCAUGUCGGAUUAGCUAGUUGGUGAUGUAAUGGCUGUCCGAGGCGAUGAUCCGCAACUGGGCGGAUGAGACGACCACCCGCCCCGGAGGUGAGGCACCGUCGGGACUUCUUCGACAGGGAGCACUGGGGAGUAUUGGACAAUGCGGGAAACCCUGAUCCGCCUACGCCGCGUGGGGGAAUAACGCCUGCGGCUUGUAUGACCCUUUCUGUGGAUAAGACACACUUCAAGCUAAUGCCUCCAGGUUUUGACAUACCCCGCAGAAUAAGCAUCUUCUAACUCUCUGCCACCAGCCGCGCGCAUACAGAGGGUGUGAGUGUUGAUCGGAAUUACUGGGCGUAAAGCGCGCGUAGGCGGCUUUGCAAGUCGGUCUGUAAACUCCCCAGAGUUUAACCGGGAUAACUGCGUGUCGAGACUGAAUUUGCUAAGAUUAUGGGGAGAGAGGAACUGGAGGUGAACGCGGGUAUCUCUUGGACAUUGCCUUCGAUCAUCUGGAAGGGUACAAUACCUUGGCGGAAGACAACUUUCCUUGAGACCACCCACGGAAUGUCUCAUGCCGCCAAACCGCGUGAGAGAGUCUUAAUUAUGAAUAAAAUAUCCCUGGGUUGUGUCUCCCCCCUUAAACGGAUUAAAAACUUCGUCUGUCCGGGGGGGGUCCUGCCCCUCCGGGGUAAAUCGUCCAAGC
rnacentral:rRNA from 1 species